UUAAAAGUAUUUGUAACUAUAGAAGCACAGUUGUAUUCACGUGGAGUACUUGUGCACCACCAGAGGAUGACACAGGAUGGUCAGUCAUCAUUGUCCAUGAGGAAAAAGAUAACUGUACUUUAUUGUGUGUCAUCCAAGAUGAGUCUCCAAUUGCAAAGAUCAAAGGUCAUCUCCCAUCUUGCAUAGUGUGGAUUUCAGAUGGAAGAAUGUACUCUAAACACAUUCUGUAGAAGAAUAUAGGACAAUAAACGUUAUGCUUCAAGGGUUCCUGCA